rnacentral:rRNA from 1 species
UCCGGUUGAUCCUGCCGGACCCGACUGCUAUCAGAGUGGGACUAAGCCAUGCGAGUCAACAUAGCAAUAUGUGGCAUACGGCUCAGUAACACGUAGUCAACAUGCCCAGGGGACGUGGAUAACCUCGGGAAACUGAGGAUAAACCGCGAUAGGUCAUCACUUCUGGAAUGGGUAAUGACUUAAAUCUAUAUGGCCCCUGGAUUGGACUGCGGCCGAUCAGGCUGUUGGUGAGGUAAUGGCCCACCAAACCUGUAACCGGUACGGGCUUUGAGAGAAGGAGCCCGGAGAUGGGCACUGAGACAAGGGCCCAGGCCCUAUGGGGCGCAGCAGGCGCGAAACCUCUGCAAUAGGCGAAAGCUUGACAGGGUUACUCUGAGUGAUGUCCGUUAAGGGCAUCUUUUGGUACCUCUAAAAAUGGUGCAGAAUAAGGGGUGGGCAAGUCUGGUGUCAGCCGCCGCGGUAAUACCAGCACCCCGAGUGGUCGGGACGAUUAUUGGGCCUAAAGCAUCCGUAGCUUGUCCUGCAAGUCUUCCGUUAAAUCCACCUGCUCAACAGAUGGGCUGCGGAGGAUACUACAGGGCUAGGAGGCGGGAGAGGCAAGCGGUACUCAGUGGGUAGGGGUAAAAUCCUCUGAUCCACUGAAGACCACCAGUGGCGAAGGCGGCUUGCCAGAACGCGCUCGACGGUGAGGGAUGAAAGCUGGGGGAGCAAACCGGAUUAGAUACCCGGGUAGUCCCAGCUGUAAACGAUGCAGACUCGGUGAUGGGUUGGCCUCGAGCCAACCCAGUGCCGCAGGGAAGCCGUUAAGUCUGCCGCCUGGGGAGUACGGUCGCAAGACUGAAACUUAAAGGAAUUGGCGGGGGAGCACCACAAGGGGUGAAGCCUGCGGUUCAAAUGGAGUCAACGCC